AACGAACGCUGGCGGCAGGCCUAACACAUGCAAGUCGAGCGGACCCUUCGGGGUUAGCGGCGGACGGGUGAGUAACGCGUGGGAAUAUGCCCUUCUCUACGGAAUAGUCCUGGGAAACUGGGGGUAAUACCGUAUACGCCCUUUGGGGGAAAGAUUUAUCGGGGAAGGAUUAGCCCGCGUUGGAUUAGGUAGUUGGUGGGGUAAUGGCCUACCAAGCCGACGAUCCAUAGCUGGUUUGAGAGGAUGAUCAGCCACACUGGGACUGAGACACGGCCCAGACUCCUACGGGAGGCAGCAGUGGGGAAUCUUAGACAAUGGGGGCAAACCUGAUCUAGCCAUGCCGCGUGAGUGAUGAAGGCCUUAGGGUUGUAAAGCUCUUUGAGCUGGGAAGAUAAUGACGGUACCAGCAGAAGAAGCCCCGGCUAACUCCGUG
rnacentral:rRNA from 1 species